rnacentral:lncRNA from 1 species
GAUUUCAUCCAAAUCUCAACCACGCUCAUUUAUUUCACAUUAUCUUUUGUUUCAUUAUCCUUUACACAAGGUAAGAUAUAUGUAGUAUUCGAUCUAAGCCGUUGAAUGGAUUUCAUCUGAAUCUCAACCACAAAAACAUUUAAUUUUUACAUUAUAUUUUACUUCAUUAUCCUUUACAAGAUAAGAUAUAUGUAUUAUUCGAUCUCAGGCGUUGAAUAGAUUUCAUCCGAAUCUCAACCACACAUUCACUUUCACUUUAUCUUUUGCCUCAUUAUCCUUUACAUAAUACGAUAUAUGUACUAUUCGAUCUAAACUGUUAAAUAGAUUUUAUUUGAAUCUCAACCACUAAUAUUUAUUUUCACUUAUCUUUUGUUUCGUUAUCGAUUACAAGAUAAUAUUUAUGUACUAUUUGAUCUUAGACAUUCAAUGAAUUUUGUUAUACCUCAUCUGAUAAGGCUUUAAGGGAUCUUACAUGACAGGAGUCAAGAUAACGAGAGCUCCGCCUGCUUGGCGGGCGGCAGGAGCUGCAGGCAAGUGCUUGGUAUCACUCUACCCAAGAGGAAGUUUGGCCAAAUCCCCAUGAAGAAGCUGAACCUAUUUAACUGAAUCGACCCCAUAUAAAGAAUCGAACCUUCAUGACGGGGUGAAGAAGCAAUGGGCCUAGCAGAAGAUUUUCUAUGCAAUACUUAAUAGUGAUUGAUGCGAAAAUUCACUAUUACCAUAUCUCUAUCCAGUCAAUCUGGUUAAGUGUAAGCCCUAUACCAGAUUUAUGGGCUACAAAAUGGUAUUAGCAUUAAAGGCUUAUGAUUGAUUGAUGUCUUUGACAAGAGGCCUCAGACGUGUGUAUUAGGCCAUGUAUACUUUCAUCUUACGGUUGAUAUCUAUCCCAUUCUACUAUAAAAGCUUGCAUAAUGUGUCAUUCUAAAGGUAAUGCAAGUUUAAACUCUGAAGCGAUAACUUUUUUAUCCUUACUGUUAUUAUCAUGUAUUCUCUCCAAAGUCGACCCUAUUUUUGCAUUAAAGGCUCGGGCUAAAGUACCUCCCACACUUAUAUACUUAUUAUUACAACUGACUUGACCGUAAAAGUGUGCAAUCUAGCUCCACCACCACCGCGAGAAGCCACAUGUGACUAACGAUUUGUCCAAGUAUGUAAGAACUAGGCUUAAGUGGACAUGGAAGCCCUUAGGAUCCAUUGGCCACUUUGGGGUACAAAAUUUGAAGUUAAGAUUGGUACCAUUUGUGGAAAACCAUACUGCAAUCACAAAUAUCCUUGUAGUAGAAGUAUUAGAAAAAACAUCAUAAUUUUUCCUUGAAAAAAGGUUUUUGUUCUUGAGGAAAGAACAAGUAGAAGUGCUAUUUAAAGUAUUGUAUAAUAUCCAAGUUAGUAUACUAUGAGUUCCAGCCAUUAUGGAUCCCUCGCAAGGACAAAUGGGAGACCCC